rnacentral:rRNA from 1 species
GUGGGGAAUAUUGGGCAAUGGGCGAAAGCCUGACCCAGCAACGCCGCGUGAAGGAAGAAGGUUUUCGGAUCGUAAACUUCUAUCCUUGGUGAAGAUAAUGACGGUAGCCAAGAAGGAAGCCCCGGCUAACUACGUGCCAGCAGCCGCGGUAAUACGUAGGGGGCAAGCGUUGUCCGGAAUGAUUGGGCGUAAAGGGCGCGUAGGCGGCCCGGUAAGUCUGAAGUGAAAGUCCUGCUUUUAAGGUGGGAAUUGCUUUGGAUACUGUCGGGCUUGAGUGCAGGAGAGGUAAGCGGAAUUCCCGGUGUAGCGGUGAAAUGCGUAGAGAUCGGGAGGAACACCAGUGGCGAAGGCGGCUUACUGGCUCGAUACUGACGCUGAGGUGCGAAAGCGUGGGGAGCAAACAGGAUUAGAAACCCCGGUAGUCC